GCCGUAUUGUAUUGUAUUGUAUGUAUUAUAUUAUUGUUUAUGGGAAAUAUUGAUAGGACAGGGUUCGUUCUCACUGUUUGACCAGGGGGGUACUUUGACAUGAUCCCAGCUUUAGUUUGACCUGUAUAUCGCUUGUCCCUUUUGCUCACCUGUUUUAUUCAAUCACGUUAAGGGUCUAUAUUGUAACCAUGGUACGUUUCCACUAAGGGUUAUUCUUGAUAAGCCCAUAUCUCCCCUUUUUCCUCGACAGUUGUGUAUUUCUAUUUGUUUUUGCGCCAUGUUCUAUAUUAUUGCCGUGGGAACUUCCGGUUUUAAGGACCAAUCGGAAUGGACAGAGAUAACCUAGUUUCCAGAACCCGGUAUUAUGUAUAUUUAGAAUUACAACCAAUCGCUACGUUAAUUUUACGGACACACUUAUCGUUAUAGUAACGGACACACUUUCUGUGUCCGCGGACUUCCGGACUAUAUAAACGGUUGUAGCAGAC
rnacentral:lncRNA from 1 species